rnacentral:rRNA from 1 species
UACAGAGGGUGCGAGCGUUAAUCGGAAUUACUGGGCGUAAAGCGUGCGUAGACGGCUAUCUAAGUCGGGUGUGAAAGCCCCGGGCUCAACCUGGGAAUUGCAUUCGAGACUGAGUAGCUAGGGUACGGUAGAGGGAAGUGGAAUUUCCGGUGUAGCGGUGAAAUGCGUAGAUAUCGGAAGGAACAUCAGUGGCGAAAGCGACUUCCUGGACCAGUACCGACGUCAGGCACGAAAGCCGUGGGGAGCAAACAGGA